CGAGAGGCGCUUCAGAGACUGGAGGGACCGACCUGCAGGAGCCAGGGCUGCCCGCCGAGCUGCAGUUGCCGCUGCUGCCGCUGUCGCUGUCGCGCUGCCGCCGCCGCUGUCAGCGCCCCGCUGAAGAGUGACAGCUCCGCAAAAGCGGGAGGGAGCACGGAGCCCCGCGCCUCUACGAAACAGGUGCAUGCGCCGAUCUCCUGGUCAGUGGACCCAGCUCGCAAGGUAGCCAUUCAUGAGCCUAAGGCUGUGAGAAAUGCUCGCUGUGCAAAGGGGAACUCUCACCAGAUUUUCUGAAGCUGUCCUAGAAAUACACUUUUCAGAUUGAUUCCGCUUUACCAGCUUAUCCAACAAAAGUAUUAACAUAUACAUUAACAACGUCGAAAGUAGCCUACUUUAAGAGAAAAUAUGCAGAAGAAGAAGAUUUACAUCAAGAUUACCAUGGGUAUUUUCCAAAACACCUGAUAUUGCCUGAGGACAGGACUUGCAUUCUCAAACUUUCUCUGGAGAAGCUCAGGUUUCUUGAAGACCCAGAAACCUACUUAAGAAGGUCUGUGUUAAUUAACAAUUUGCUGAGGAAGAUACAUCUAGAGACGGAGAAAGAGAGCUAUGAAUACUUUAAAGAAGCUCCCUGUUAUAAGACUGCUUAUUCUGAUACAAGAAAACGGCUGAAGUUCAUGGUACAGGAAUGCUGUUCUCAGUCUCUUUAUUAUGAAGAGCUGCAUUCAUAUCAUAUUGUGCCUUAUGCUUCGGAGAAUGCCAUUUAUGGAAUGGGCUACACUAGCAGCCACUUGGAGCAAAAUUCUCAGCUGCUUAUUUAUAAAAUGAAUUAAAGUAACCGUUAAGUUCAUUGAUACUUUGUUUCUAAAUGCCUGAACUGUUUAUAGUGAAGAUGUUAAAAUAAGGCACUAAUUACCAGUGCACUUGAGAUCAAAGAUGACAUGCAUGCUGAACUGAGUGGAGAAAAGCCUGGUUAUUACUCAGCAGUCCUUAGUAUCAUCCAAAUUGAAAAUAUGUCCACAUAUUAUAAAGCGGCAAAUAAGUGCUUUACAGGCAAAGGUUUUUAUGCUCUUUUUAAGAUAAGAUGAUGUGUACAAGGAGACCUAUGUCAAGUUCUUAUACUGAUUUAAACUUUUAAGCCCACUGUUUCCAAAUUCUGCCACUCUUAGUGGAAAGUAACAAAAAAUGACAUUGAACUGAUAAUGUGGUGUCCUUGAAUAUUAAGGGUGGAAUGAAUUUUGUUUUCUGUAAACAAUGAGGGGAAGAUAGGUUCUUUCUGAAAAGCUUUCGCUUGUCAAGCAUUGUGCCAAAUAAUUGUUUGACACCAUUCUCCCUUACCGUUGGUAGCAAUUCAAGUUGGAGCAAACGUAUUGCAACUUAACUGCUGAAUGUAACAACCAGAUUACUCCAAACUGAUCCAUUUUAUUUUAUUUUAUUUUUUUAUUUUAUUUUAUUUUAUUUUAUUUUUGGCUUGAUAGACAUUUCUCUUAAAAGUAAAAUUUAAUAAAAUGAGCCUUGCAGAUAGGCUUAUCUGUAAGUUCUAGAGGUCAGUUAAAAUUUGUGGUGGGCUUUCAGUUAAGAGUUUACAUUUUAUUUAUGAUGUCAUUUUUACAGGCUGUGAGGCUCAGGAAAAGGGGAGGCAGGUCAAAUUUGUUUUUAAUAGGUUGAUAAUUUUAAAAAGUCGUAUCUGCAAAAAUUGGUGAAAACAACAGAAAUUCUACAUGAUGUUAUUUCUUCAUCGAAGAGUACAUUUAAGGCUGCCUGGAUGAAACUUUGCACUGAUUUUUGUAUAGUAGUUGACCAUUCACUAUUUUACAAAAUGUUUCAGAAUGCUUUUGGUGGUGAAGUUCAGAUAAGUCCCUAUAUUUUGCAAUUUGAAAGAUAAUUAUUUAACAAGUUGGAUAGAUCCCUGAAAUUAUUUGAAGUGGUUCAUAUGUUCUUUGAGGUUUGAGUGAGAUUUCAGUGUCUGGGGUUAUGUUCUGUGGAACAUAUCAUUUAAAGAAUUGUCAUUAAUUGAUAAAACAGAUUGGGAAACCUAGGUGCCAAAGGUAUAUUCAAGAAAAUACCAAAGACCCAAAGAUGAGUGUUAGAGAGACUAUGAUAAUGAAGAUAAGAAUCUAAAAUAAGGAUUGCAUAGGACAUAGAAGAACACUGUUAAAGGGUUUUGGAACGAUUUGCUUACUAAUGUGCUUUCAGAGCACUUUACAGGAAAUAAUGAAAAUCAAGGACACUGCUUUAAGUGAAGAUAUUACAGGCUUUCGGUGAUCAUAUGCUUUCACAAAUCUAAAUAUGGUGACUUGUCAACAUUGUUCCAUCCCUAGUUGAAUGCCAUCUUGUGACCAAGAAGUCUUUUUUUUAUUCAAGAGAAUUUUGUUUUUAGUUCCGAUUCACUAUUUGUUCCCUUUAAUUAAUCAUCAGGUCACUCACAUGGAUGUUUUUGGUAUAAAUAUUAGUGCCCUAAUUAGCAUGUGUUGUUGAAGAUUAUGUAGAUUUAUAAUUGAUAAAAGUAUCAGGUUUUUAUUUAAUUGCUCAAUCAGAAUUAUUAAAAAAUACUUUAGAACAAACUGAAAAAUUAUAAUUGGGGCUGAUUUUUAAAGGCAAUUUUGUUUGAAUGGUGAAAUAGCUUUGAAAUAGAUAUAAGUAUUUAAAAAUUAAUUUAAGGGGAAAAUUUGGCACCAAAGUUCAAAAACUUUGUUUCACUGCUUAUAAAAUACUUCAAGAGCACUUCUUUUAAAAAGGUUUCUUAAACAAUGAGGAUAUUAAUUGAAUAGACUCCAAAUUAGAUAGGAUAAUUAUACUACAUAUAAUUUAAAAAUAGAAUUAGCUCUCUAAUAGUUUUAACUUUUUCUUUUUCUUUUUACUGAGAGAAACAUUUGGUUUGCUUUAGUACAGUGCCUAUAACAAAAACACACCUGUGCAAAUUGAUGUGACUUACAAAACUGCCAUAUAUUGAAAUUGUUUGAGAAUAGAAAUGCAACUUUGGAAUAGAAUAGAGAGGGAGAGAAAAAAUUACCAAGAAAGUGUGAAAUUAUAAUAGUUAGCGUAUGUCAGAAAUCUUAAAGUAACAACUCUUGGGCAAUGAACCAGCAACAGAGGUAAAGUCUGUUUUAUUUGAUGAUGUCAUUAACUGAGCUCUCUGAUCUCUAUAUUCAUAUGUAGAGAAGGAACUGUCUUAGAAACCAGUGGUAUUUGUGAAUAUGCUUUUUAAAAAAAAAUGAUUUCAAACCAGGUUAUUUAAAAAUAUCUUUAAGAGCAUUUAAUUUCUUGUGCAAUAAACAAUUCAUAGAUAAGGAGUGGACUAAUGUUAUCUUGAUUUUUAAAAAAACAAUAAUUUGUAUUUAAGUGAUGUAAAUGUCUCUGAAUCAACCAAUAAGAUUGCUGUCAUUUUACUCUGGCAAACUGAUAUAUGGAGAGACUCCAUAUAGACCUGCUUUGCUGACCCCAUCCCACAUGCUCUAUUACGGGAGAAGCAAAAGGUGGGAGACUAGUUACAGCUUUUUUGAAUGUAGACAUCCUUUCUUUGGUAACAGAAGCCAUCCUUAGAGUAAGAAAGACAGGAUGAGAAAUCUGAAUGCCUUAGGUAAUAUUGAUCACUCUUGUGAGUCCUCAGCCUGCAGGCCUAGUAAAGAAGAAAAUUUUAAAAAGAGAGAAGAGGAAAAUGAUGAGACGAGGAAGGAAAAAAGUGUGUUGGAGGGGUGCAGAGAAAUUAAAAAACAGUAUUAAUAAGUGAAAGAGAAUGUUGUUUCAUUGUGAGGGCAGAUGGCCUUACUUGCUACACUCAUUUUGACUCCCUGUGUCUCCUGUACACCCCCAAACCUGAUAUCCAGAACAUACGGAUAUUUUCUUUCAUUCAUCAAUGAUGCAUAAGCUAGAUUUUAUUCAGCCUACGUAUUAUUUGAAAUGUGAUGUUACUGUGAAAUAUUGCCAAAACUGAGCUCCCUGGUUAGAUGAAUAGAGGAAAAAAGAGACAUUAAUUAAGUUAGGGGCAAGACUAAUGGUACGCCUGUAUAUAAAUGGAUAAGCUCAAACAUAUGAUCAGAUUUCAAUGUACAAUUUAAUAAGAUUUAAUCCAAGAUUUAAUAAUUCAGUGCUAGAGGACUCGGAAAUAAAUCUAACUCCCCACCGUUUAUUAAGCAACUACUAUGAGCCAGACACUGUGCCAGGGUUGGAGAUAUAGAGGUGAAUGAUACACAGUCCCUGUGAACUGCUCAAGCAGUUCACUGAUGAAGGAGGAACUCAGAGAUGUUUCGUUUUGUUUUUAAAGUAUUGAAAGCACCUGCAUUUCUCUUUUUCAAGCUAUGGGAUGGUUAUCAAACAUGUGUCUCCAGAAGUGUUUACAGCUAAGAAGAUGCACAAGGAGAAGGGAAGGUCUACUGACCUCGAUCUUAGAGGGGAAGCAGUGUACAUUCUGCUUUGCAACAUAUUUUAUACUUGGAAGCAUAAUAGCCACUGUCAUAGACAGCAAGUGUGGCCGGCCUUAGCUCAUUCCUGGGGCACAGAGAUUGUAGGGGAGGUAGGGAGACAAGUGCAAAUACAGAAUUCCUUCUCUCCCACUUCUCCAGCUUUCAUGUUCUUUUGUAGGGGAAAUCAGGCUAAUAUUAAUAUGAAGGAGAGCCUUGAAGGAGAAGCAGAAUCAGGAAAUCACAGCCUCUGAGUUGUAUAUAGUGUGGCCAAGGUUAGAAGGGCAACUUUCUUUAAUUUGCCUCGUGCUAGUGAGCUGCUUGAAUGAGCCUUGGAUUUCUUAACACCAGCUACGCAGCCAGCUCUUCCUUCCCUCCACUCUGAAUCACAGCCCAACCCCAGACUUUGCAGUCCACUGUAAGUGGAGGUUUUCGUUCUAAUUCUUCACCCUCCUAUCUCCCCCAGCAUUGAUGUUGAAUUGCUCAAAGAUACUAGGAAGAAAGCAACAAUUUGCAGUACUGGUUGAACUCUUUCGGGAAAUGGUUUCCAAAGUGUAUCAAACAAGAAUUCAUCAGUUUCUUGAUAUAAUGCUUUUUAAAACUAUUGUACUUAGUCAUCAAAUAAUUGACUACUAAGGUAAUCUUCACGUUUCUAGUGUUCAGUGUAAUAGUUAUCAUUUGUAUAUGUUUUGCUAAAGAAGAUACCUUAGAUUGGAAACAAUGAAAGAUUGUGUGCAAUCAAUGCAAGCAGUUCAUGAUUAUUAUGUAAUAGAGAAUUUUAAUUUACAUUUUCCCAUUCUCAAACUUCAUUUUAUACAUCAGCAAUGUGACAUGUUUCAGGUGUUUUUGUUUUUGUUUUAUUAAGUGGAUCAUGUCUAAAAGUUGUUACAUUCAUGGUUAAACAUUUUGAACAAAAUCUUCCUAUUAGCGUAGUUCUAUCUUUCCCCUGGGAUUAUUCUAUAGUUGGGUAGGAAAAGAACAUUCCUCUACAUUAGCACAUCUCAAAUCUUCUUGUGCACAGAAGUCACUGGAGAUCUUAUUGAAAUACAAAUUCCUUUUAGUAGAUCUGGGAUGGGGCCUGAGAGUCUGCAUUUCUCAAGUUUCCUAGGUGAUGUGGGUGCUACCAGUCUACCAACCACACUUUGGGUAGUAAAGCUCUACAUCACUUUGAAAAUCAAAAUAUACACUCAAGCCUGUAUUCUGAUUACUUUCAAAGAAUACGUGUUCGUGUCUCUCUUCUAUAGAAUUUUUUAAUCGAAAGAAAUGAAAGAUAAAGUUUCCAAACUGGUCACAAAUAUUAUAAUAUUUUAUAUAGCAAAAUACAUACAAAAUGAUUUCUCGUACAAAUUUUAUCUACAUCAAGCGCAAAAAAGGAACAUGGAUGUAGUCAUGUACCAUUCUUAUCAGUCAGGAAAUGACACAUGGCAAAUUUCUCUUCUUGGUUUUCUUUCCAUUGAUUAUACCCAGAUAAGUGAGCUCUAUUUGUUAACACUAGAGCACAGAUGAAAUUUUGUUCACAGUUAAGAAGAAUUUGGCAAGUUCUUGCUUGGCCGAACCUGAGAAGACGUUAUAAAAACAUUCUAUAUUAAAUUCAGACUUGUGGGUGAAAGCAUGGGCUGAACAAUUUGGUAAACAUAAGCUGAAAAAUGGCACCUGGAUCUUCAACUUCUUGUUUUGAACUCUUUCUUGAGCUUUAUUCCAUAAGAGAUCCUCCCCUUGCUAUGGACUCAUUGUUUCUCUUUAGUUGUCAGUGUCUAAGUAAGGGGUGGAGGAUUGGUGUAAAUGAGGGAGUUGCACAAAUUGUCUAAUUUGAGCAUGCCAAGUGAUUUUUGUCAGGCUCUCCUUUGGUCAUAAAUUGUUGAUAUAGAUAUUGUGAAAUAUAGUGUCAUAAAUUUGUCAUAAGCCAUUAAUGAAGGGGAAAAAAGCAGAAAUUUAGUUCUGUGGGAAUGCACCCAAAUAUCAAGCAGAUGGUGUUCUACAACAUUUAUUUGGGAAACUGUGUAUCUGUUACAUAAUCUAAAAUAUGUCAUUUUCACAUUUAAAAAUAUUUGGGUCAUGAUUUAGAGUUUUUAUUGGAUUGUUUUUUAAACUG